rnacentral:rRNA from 1 species
UACAGAGGGUGCGAGCGUUAAUCGGAAUUACUGGGCGUAAAGCGUGCGUAGACGGUUAUUUAAGUCGGGUGUGAAAGCCCCGGGCUCAACCUGGGAACAGCGCUUGAGACUGGCACGCUCGAGUUCGGGAGAGGAUGGUGGAAUUCCCAGUGUAGAGGUGAAAUUCGUAGAUAUUGGGAAGAACACCGAUGGCGAAGGCAGCCAUCUGGACCGACACUGACGCUGAGGCGCGAAAGCGUGAGGAGCAAACAGG